AUGUGCCUGGAGUUGAGUGGCAUUCAUCAUCCGGUACCGCAGGGCACUGUUCACAAUGAAGCGGUCAUCAACGCGGGAUGUGGCCAAAGGACGUCCACUUCUAUGCCUUUCUGUGACUCUUCCAGUCUCUCUGUAUCUCUUUCGCAACCUGCUGAUGACACUCUGUGACACUGUAAGCUCAGUGGCCACUUCCCUCUGAGAACAUCCUGUCUGAAGCCUCGCAAUGACUAUUGUUCCCCAGCUUUUCUAAAAGAGCUUCUGAGGGACACCAGGAAGAGGAAAGAAGAAAGUCCUGGUCAACAAAGCAGAAGUAGAUGAGGCUGAAAACUUGGUUCAGGCUGAAGCUGAGUCCGAAGCUGUAGAACCAGAGAACAACACAUCUGCUGUGGAAAGCACCAGCUGUGAAAAGGAGAAGAAGAAAUGGACCAAAAAGGGACACGAGGCAGAAGAAAGAAGAAAGUCCGGGUCAU